GGUAAGAUGGCUGAGGAUAGGCGAUAAACUGUAAAUUUAUUUAUGAAUUGAGAUUCUCUUACCA
rnacentral:tRNA from 1 species